UGGUGGAGUGAUUUGUCUGGUUGAUUCCGAUAACGAACGAGACCUCAGCCUACUAACUAGUGCAGCGUAACCUUCUUUUGGGAUACGUCUCUUGCUUUGUGCACUUCUUAGAGGGACUAUCUGUGUCUAGCAGAUGGAAGUUUGAGGCAAUAACA
rnacentral:rRNA from 1 species